UACGGAGGGGACUAGCGUUGUUCGGAAUUACUGGGCGUAAAGCGCACGUAGGCGGAUUUGUAAGUCAGGGGUGAAAUCCCGGGGCUCAACCUCGGAACUGCCUUUGAUACUGCAAAUCUCGAGUCCGGAAGAGGUGAGUGGAAUUCCUAGUGUAGAGGUGAAACUCGUAGAUAUUAGGAAGAACACCAGUGGCGAAGGCGGCUCACUGGUCCGGUACUGACGCCGAGGUGCGAAAGCGUGGGGAGCAAACAGG
rnacentral:rRNA from 1 species